CCUACGGGUGGCAGCAGUGGGGAAUAUUGGGCAAUGGGCGCAAGCCUGACCCAGCAAUGCCGCGUGAAGGAAGAAGGCUUUCGGGUUGUAAACUUCUUUGACAGGGGAAGAGCAGAAGACGGUACCCUGAAAACAAGCCACGGCUAACUACGUGCCAGCAGCCGCGGUAAUACGUAGGUGGCAAGCGUUGUCCGGCUUGACUGGGUGUAAAGGGCGGGUAGCCGGGAAGGCAAGUCAGAUGUGAAAUCCGGAGGCUCAACCUCCGAAUUGCAUUUGAAACUGUUUUUGUUGAGUACUGGAGAGGCAGGUGGAAUUCCUGGUGUAGCGGUGAAAUGCAUAGAUAUCACGCAGAACUCCGAUUGCGAAGGCAGCAUACCGGCGCGCAACUGACGCUCAUGCACGAAAGCGUGGGUAGCGAACAGGAUUAGAUACCCGUGUAGUC
rnacentral:rRNA from 1 species